UACGUAGGCAGCGAGCGUUGUUCGGAGUUACUGGGCGUAAAGGGUGUGUAGGCGGUCCUCCAAGUUUGGUGUGAAAUCUCCCGGCUCAACCGGGAGGGUGCGCCGAAAACUGGGGGGCUAGAGUGCGGGAGGGGAGAGUGGAAUUCCUGGUGUAGCGGUGAAAUGCGUAGAUAUCGGGAGGAACACCUGUGGCGAAAGCGGCUCACUGGACCGCAACUGACGCUGAGGCGCGAAAGCCAGGGGAGCAAACGGG
rnacentral:rRNA from 1 species